rnacentral:rRNA from 1 species
UACGAAGGGGGCUAGCGUUGUUCGGAAUUACUGGGCGUAAAGGGCGCGUAGGCGGUGUGUCAAGUCAGGCGUGAAAGCCCCGGGCUCAACCUGGGAACAGCGCUUGAGACUGGCACGCUCGAGUUCGGGAGAGGAUGGUGGAAUUCCCAGUGUAGAGGUGAAAUUCGUAGAUAUCUGGAGGAAUACCGGUGGCGAAGGCGGCAUCCUGGACCGAGAUUGACGCUGAUGAGCGAAAGCUAGGGGAGCAAACGGG